rnacentral:rRNA from 1 species
UACGUAGGGUGCGAGCGUUGUCCGGAAUUACUGGGCGUAAAGAGCUCGUAGGUGGUUUGUCGCGUUGUUCGUGAAAACUCACAGCUUAACUGUGGGCGUGCGGGCGAUACGGGCAGACUGGAGUACUGCAGGGGAGAAUGGAAUUCCCGGUGUAGCGGUGAAAUGCGCAGAUAUCGGGAAGAACACCCGUGGCGAAGGCGGUUCUCUGGGACGGUACUGACGCUGAGACGCGAAAGCGUGGGGAGCGAACAGG